CUGUCUGAUUAAUGAGWCUGCUGGAUGUGACUGUGUGAUAUUAUAACUGUGUUCUUUUUAAUUUACUUUUAUUCAACAUGGACCUGAAUCUGUUUGUGGACCCACUGAGGACCUGUCUCCAGACCUUUGUAUCAGAGCAGGACUGAGACCAUCAGGCUCCAUCAGUGAGACUACAACCAGUGGAAGCCAGUUCCACCCCACAUCAUAUAAGUGCAGUUGAUGCAGCGAGCAGCAUUCAGCCCAUCCAUGGACCCAGAACAGAUGUCCUCUACAUCCAYACCUACAUCUGACAGGCAGGUGGACGAGGAGGUGAUGGAGUUCCUGACCAUCUGAAGAACUGAACCAGCAGCAGGAUGAGGAGCUGAUGGAGUUCCUGACCAUCUGAAGAACUGAACCAGCAGCAGGAUGAGGAGACACUGGAACAAAAUCUGUCCAUCUGGGUUUUAAAGCCUUCAUGACAGCUGAAAAAUUCAGUUAAUGCAAAUGUACAGUUUUAAAAUGUCCUGUUUAGAGCUGAGGAAGUCAAACACCAGGCCUUGACAUGUUUUU